UCCCAGACUCCUACGGGAGGCAGCAGUGGGGAAUAUUGGGCAAUGGGCGCAAGCCUGACCCAGCGACGCCGCGUGAGGGAAGACGGUCUUCGGAUUGUAAACCUCUUUCAGCAGGGAAGACAAAAGGACGGUACCUGCAGAAGAAGCCACGGCUAACUACGUGCCAGCAGCCGCGGUAAUACAUAGGUGGCAAGCGUUAUCCGGAAUUACUGGGUGUAAAGGGUGCGUAGGCGGUGUAGCAAGUUAGAAGUGAAAUGCCUAGAGCUUAACUCAGGUGCUGCUUCUAAAACUGCUAUACUUGAGUGCAGUAGAGGAAAGUGGAAUUCCUAGUGUAGCGGUGGAAUGCGUAGAUAUUAGGAGGAACAUCAGUGGCGAAGGCGACUUUCUGGACUGUAACUGACGCUGAGGCACGAAAGUGUGGGGAGCAAACAGGAUUAGAUACCCUUGUA
rnacentral:rRNA from 1 species